CCUACGGGAGGCAGCAGUAGGGAAUCUUCCACAAUGGGCGAAAGCCUGAUGGAGCAACGCCGCGUGAGUGAUGAAGGCCUUCGGGUUGUAAAACUCUGUCAUUCGGGACGAACCGGAGUCUGAGGAAAUGCAGACUCUCUGACGGUACCGGAGGAGGAAGCCCCGGCUAACUACGUGCCAGCAGCCGCGGUAAUACGUAGGGGGCAAGCGUUGUCCGGAUUCACUGGGCGCAAAGCGCGCGCAGGCGGUGAUGUAAGUCUGAGGUGAAAACCCGAAGCUCAACUUCGGGACUGCCUUGGAUACUGCGUCACUUGAGGAUAGGAGAGGCAAGGGGAAUUCCACGUGUAGCGGUGAAAUGCGUAGAGAUGUGGAGGAACACCUGUGGCGAAGGCGCCUUGCUGGCCUAUUUCUGACGCUGAGGCGCGAAAGCGUGGGGAGCAAACAGGAUUAGAUACCCUGGUAGUCCACGCUGUAAACGAUGAGUGCUAGGUGUAGGUGGGCUCAUACCCAUCUGUGCCGAAGCUAACGCAUUAAGCACUCCGCCCUGGGGAGUACGGUCGCAAGACUGAAACUCAAAUGAAUUGACGG
rnacentral:rRNA from 1 species